rnacentral:rRNA from 1 species
UACGUAGGGGGCAAGCGUUGUCCGGAAUCAUUGGGCGUAAAGAGCUCGUAGGCGGUCUGUCACGUCGGCUGUGAAAACCCGGGGGCUCAACCCCGGGCCUGCAGUCGAUACGGGCAGACUAGAGUGCGGUAGGGGAGACUGGAAUUCCUGGUGUAGCGUGAAAUGCGCAGAUAUCAGGAGGAACACCGGUGGCGAAGGCGGGUCUCUGGGCCGUAACUGACGCUGAGGAGCGAAAGCGUGGGGGAGCGAACAGG